AUUGAACCCUGGCGGCAGGCCUAACACAUGCAAGUCGAGCGAGCGGCGGACGGGUGAGUAAUGUAAGGGGCCUGCCCGAUAGAGGGGGAUAACUACUGGAAACGAUAGAUAAUACCGCAUACUAUCGGAUAACCCAUAUGGGAUUAGCUAGUAGGUGAGGUUAUGGCUCAACUAGGCGACGAUCCCUAGCUGGUCUGAGAGGCUGAUCAGCCACACUGGGACGAAGACAGGUCCCGGACUCUCACGGCGGGAGCAGUGGGGAAUAUUGCACAAUGGACGCAAGCCUGAUGCAGCCAGGCCGCGUGGUGGAAGAAGGCCCUAGGGUUGUAAAGUACUGUCAGUCGGCAGGCGUUACCGACAGAAUAAGUACCGGCUAACUCCGUGCCAGCAGCCACGGUAACAC
rnacentral:rRNA from 1 species